rnacentral:rRNA from 1 species
GUCUUAAAGAAUUUAAUUUUAAGUCUAAUCUGCCCAAUGAAAAUAUUUUAAUGGCUGCAGGAUUUAACUGUACAAAGGUAGCAUAAUAAUUUGUUUUUUAAUUAAAAACUAGAAUGAAAGAUUGAAUGAAAUAUAAACUUUUUCAAUUAAAUUUUUAUUAAAUUUUUUAUUUAAGUAAAAAAACUUAAAUAAUUUUUAAAGACGAUAAGACCCUAUAGAAUUUUAUUUAUUUAAAUAAAUUUUUUAUUUAAAUAAAUUUUAUUGGGGUAAUAAAAAAAUUAGAUUAAUUUUUUUUAAAAAUUACAAUAAUUAUUGAAAAAUAAAUCUUAAUUUUUAAAUUAAAAAAAUUAAUUACCUUAGGGAUAACAGCAUAAUUUUUUUUAAAAGAUCUUAUUAAUAAAAAAGAUUAU